rnacentral:tRNA from 1 species
GGUGAGAUGGCCGAGCGGUCUAAGGCGCCAGACUAAGGACUAGGACAUUAUGUCUACAAACGUUGUUCAGCAACAUCUGGUCCUCCGGGGCGUGGGUUCGAAUCCCACUCUCAUCA